UCGGAGGUGGUGCACGGUACACACCCGCUCUUAUUACUCAGAAUAGUUCAUGAAACAACAUCCAGGCGGGAGAUCUGGGUUCGACUCCCAGCGUCCGAA